CCUACGGGAGGCAGCAGUGGGGAAUAUUGGACAAUGGGGGGAACCCUGAUCCAGCCAUGCCGCGUGUGUGAAGAAGGCCCUCGGGUUGUAAAGCACUUUCAGUGAGGAAGAACGCCUGGUGGUUAAUACCCAUCAGGAAAGACAUCACUCACAGAAGAAGCACCGGCUAACUCCGUGCCAGCAGCCGCGGUAAUACGGAGGGUGCGAGCGUUAAUCGGAAUUACUGGGCGUAAAGCGCGCGUAGGUGGCUUGAUAAGCCGGUUGUGAAAGCCACGGGCUCAACCUGGGAACGGCAUCCGGAACUGUCAAGCUAGAGUGCAGGAGAGGAAGGUAGAAUUCCCGGUGUAGCGGUGAAAUGCGUAGAGAUCGGGAGGAAUACCAGUGGCGAAGGCGGCCUUCUGGACUGACACUGACACUGAGGUGCGAAAGCGUGGGUAGCAAACAGGAUUAGAUACCCCAGUAGUC
rnacentral:rRNA from 1 species